rnacentral:rRNA from 1 species
CGGCAACAGCCUAAAACUCAAAGGACUUGGCGGUGCUUCAUACCCUUCUAGAGGAGCCUGUUCUAUAAUCGAUAAACCCCGAUAAACCUCACCAAUCCUUGCUAAUACAGUCUAUAUACCGCCAUCUUCAGCAAACCCUGAAAAGGAGUAAAAGUAAGCACAAUCAUARGACAUAAAAACGUUAGGUCAAGGUGUAACCUAUGGAAUGGAAAGAAAUGGGCUACAUUUUCUAUCUUAAGAA